UUUUCAAUGAUGAAUCAUUUAGUUUACAAGACAUAUCUUGUAUUUUCUUUAGGUAAUUGCCAAAUCAGAGUCAAAUUUAUGAAUGGGCAACCAGUUCUCUUCACCACUUCCAGCUUAUACUCCUCUGGAGUGUAUCCUGAACCAUUGGGACGGCUUUGACCCUCAGAAUCUGGAGGAAAAACACCUCAUAGCCCUACGCACAAAGGGUUGGCCAAAUUAUGAUUUACAGGAAGGACUGAGUUGGCCUCAGGAAGGAACCAUUCAUUUCAAUACCACUUGGCAGUUGGAACUUUUCUGCAGACAUGAGGACAGAUGGUCUGAGGCCACAUAUAUGCAGGCUUUCUAUAUCUUGCAAGGCAAUCGAGACCUUGGCUAACAAUGUAAGAUAGAUCUAGCCCUCCUGUUUGCCAUCUUAGGGAAGGCUGCAAGGGGCAAGCCUAGAGAAUUAAAGAUAUGAGUCCCAGAGGCACCCCCAACAGGGGAGCCAGCUCCCUCAAGCCCUGCUCCUCCAGGUCUAUCCCAACCUCCCUAUCCAGCUUCAGCCUCUCACUUGCCCCCUC
rnacentral:lncRNA from 10 species